rnacentral:rRNA from 1 species
CGGAGGUGGCGAGCGUUACUCGGAAUCAUUGGGUGUAAAGGGCAGGUAGGCGGUCUAUUAAGUGAGGGGUGAAAUCUCCCGGCUCAAUCGGGAAACUGCCUUUCAAACUGGUAGACUUGAGUGUGAUAGGGGGAAGCGGAAUUAGCAGUGUAAGGGUGAAAUCUGUAGAUAUUGCUAAGAACACCAGCGGCGAAGGCGGCUUCCUGGAUCACAACUGACGCUGAUCUGCGAAAGCUAGGGGAGCAAACAGAAUUAGAUACUCUGGUAGUCCUAGCCGUAAACGAUGAGUACUAGGUGUUGGACCGUAAGGUUCAGUGCCGCAGCUAACGCAUUAAGUACUCCACCUGAGGACUACGACCGCAAGGUUA